GCCUCCGUGGCUUAGGUGGUAGAGCAUUGCCUUGGUAAGGCAAAGGCCGCGGGUUCAAAUCCCGCCGGAGGCU
rnacentral:tRNA from 1 species